rnacentral:rRNA from 1 species
UACGUAGGGUGCGAGCGUUGUCCGGAAUUAUUGGGCGUAAAGGGCUCGUAGGCGGUCUGUUGCGUCAGGAGUGAAAACUCGGGGCUUAACCCCGAGCCUGCUUCUGAUACGGGCAGACUAGAGGUAUGCAGGGGAGAACGGAAUUCCUGGUGUAGCGGUGAAAUGCGCAGAUAUCAGGAGGAACACCGGUGGCGAAGGCGGCAUCCUGGACCGACACUGACGCUGAGGAGCGAAAGCCAGGGGAGCAAACGGG